AGUGAACGCUGGCGGUAGGCCUAACACAUGCAAGUCGAACGGCAGCACAGUAAGAGCUUGCUCUUACGGGUGGCGAGUGGCGGACGGGUGAGGAAUACAUCGGAAUCUACUUUUUCGUGGGGGAUAACGUAGGGAAACUUACGCUAAUACCGCAUACGACCUCCGGGUGAAAGCAGGGGAUCUUCGGACCUUGGCGGAUUAAAUGGGCCGAUGUCGGAUUAGCUAGUUGGCGGGGUAAAGGCCCACCAAGGCGCCGAUCCGUAGCUGGUCUGAGAGGAUGGUCAGCCACACUGGAACUGAGACACGGUCCAGACUCCUACGGGAGGCAGCAGUGGGGAAUAUUUGACAAUGGGCGCAAGCCUGAUCCAGCCAUACCGCGUGGGUGAAGAAGGCCUUCGGGUUGUAAAGCCCUUUUGUUGGGAAAGAAAAGCAGCAGGUUAAUACCCCGCUGUUCUGACGGUACCCAAAGAAUAAGCACCGGCUAACUUCGUG
rnacentral:rRNA from 1 species